rfam:Nonlabens spongiae strain JCM 13191, complete genome.
UCGAUUGAGGAAAGAUUUGGCUGCUUGCGACCUCGUUUGGAUUGUUUCUGAACACAAACGCUAAAACAGUGAUU